UACGUAGGGGGCAAGCGUUGUCCGGAUUUAUUGGGCGUAAAGAGCGUGUAGGCGGCCUGACAGGUCUGCUGUGAAAACUCGAGGCUCAACCUCGAGAUGUCGGCGGAAACCGUCUGGCUAGAGUCCGGAAGAGGAGAGUGGAAUUCCUGGUGUAGCGGUGAAAUGCGUAGAUAUCUGGAGGAAUACCGGUGGCGAAGGCGGCAUCCUGGACCGGCAUUGACGCUGAGGCGCGAAAGGCUAGGGGAGCAAACGGG
rnacentral:rRNA from 1 species